UCUAUUAUGGCAGAUAAGUGCAAUGGAUUUAAGAUUCAUACAUAAAGUUAGUUACUUUUUUUAGAA
rnacentral:tRNA from 1 species